CCAUGUCUUAUUGUCCUCGACUGCUUGGAUCAACUAGAUCUGUCGUCCAAUAUGAUGAGAUUUCUUUCCUUUCCUGCGCAGGAAAAUAUCGUUGGACAUUUUGUCGUACUAACAAGAAGAAACCCAAACCUACUUGUUAAUGAAGUUUCAGUCUUCAAGGAGAAUUCUUGUCUUCAACUCAAAUGUUUCCUCUCUAAAGAAGCAAAGGAAUUUCUUUCUUCGAGAACUGGUCUGAAUCUUGAUGAAAAUGUGGAGAGUGUCGCAGAAUGUCUUUGUGAAGAGCUGGGGAGACUGCCACUUGCUUUGGAACAAGCUGGAGCUUGUAUUGAUAUGCUCAGUUGCACUUUGUCCUCAUACCUGGAGCAAUAUAAAACUGAACGCUUGCGACUGCUGAGUCAGCAACCGGCACGCCCUGUAUCACCAGGUAAAGAGUCAUCUGAACGUUUGGCAGUUCACACCACAUGGCUUAUCAAUAUCGAGUAUAUGAAGAAGCGCCCGAAUGGUCAUGCUGCUAUUCGAUUUAUGAAUGCUAGUUCAUUUUUCAAUGGAAGUGAGAUUGAAGAAGAGCUGGUCAACGUUGGAACACCCGAAGUGGAGGACGUCGCGUAUCGUAAAUGCGUGUCAUCGCCAUUAGGUUGCCGUCAUGUUCUAAAAUUGUUGACUGACUUCUCACUUUUCACGUACGUUCAGCCGCACUCUGUCAGCACCCAUCGUUUGGUUCAGGAGCUACUCAGAGAGAGUUUUUAUCCAGAAUCUAAAGCAGAAAGUUUCAUCGAUGCUGUGCGGAUGCUUUCUUAUGCAUUGUCUAAAUGUUCUUCACCCAGUAAUCUUGUAAAACUAGAUGAAACGAUUGCUGAAGAACACGAC
rnacentral:lncRNA from 1 species